CACAUUUUCAUUUAAAUUUACGUACAAUUCAUUCAAAUAUACAUUCGCAAAACAUUUAUUUCAACUUACAAAUUAAACAAAUUGUUCGAAGUACAAUUCAACUAUUUUUUUUUUAAUAUAGCAUCAAGAUCUAAAGGAGGAUUCAGAGGAUCCUUACUUGGAAUGAUCGCUUGACCCGUACUCGUGUUUGUGUUUUCCUCCUAAAAAACAACAAAAUAAUUUUGAUUGAUUAAGUUAAUGUUUAUACUAAAAAUUUUAGUAUCGAAUAACUUACUUCUAGAGUAGCGAUUUUGCCUAACAAGUAUGUUUGUACUUUUACCAUGAGCUCCAUUUGUUGGUUAAACGUCUCGAGUCUCUGGUUGACGACCGCGUUAACGGUUUUUUGAACACGAGUAUCGAAUUCUUCCUUUUUCUUCUUUUCUCUUUCUUCUUUUGUUAGGCGAUUUAUUUUGGCCUUGGAUUUCUUCGGCAUCAAUGAAUCGUCCCCUGGUCUCAUUCCGAGAAUACGUCCUUUCGUCUUGCCUCCUGAAGCCCUAAUCCAAGCUUCCAGACUGUCAUCAAUGAAUAAAGGCCUUUUUCGCUUUUAGGAUGUCGAUCCUUGCGUCGACAUUUCUUCUUCGUCUGUUGACUCCUCCUCUUCCUCGUCUUCAUUUAUUGAUUGUUGUUUAUCGAAAUGUUCCUUUUUGUACGUUUCGUAAUCCGACUAUUAUAAACAACAAAGAAAUGAAUUAGUAAUGAAAAAAAAUACAAAAUAUUGAUAAUUAAAUACGUACCAUUAGAGUCUUGCCUUUAUCAUUGAUCGGAUAAUGAAUGACCAUAAAAGAUUCUGUAAAUGAAGCUGGUCGACCGAGUUUCAAACUCUAUAUCAUGA
rnacentral:lncRNA from 1 species